rnacentral:rRNA from 1 species
CCCUUAGAUGUUCUGGGCGGCCCGCGCACUACAUUGGCACUGUCAGCAAGGGUCUGAAACUAAAACUUUUGGGUAUUCUGAGAACCGGUGUCGUGACUGGGAUUGACCCUUGCAAUUAUUGGUUAUGAACGAGGAAUUCCUUGUAAUCGCGGUUUAUCAGCCCGCGUUGAAUGCGUCCCUGCCCUUUGUACACACCGCCCGUCGCUACUACCGAUUGAACGUUUUAGUGAGGUAUUUGGACUGGACCUUCGGAGGUUCGCGCCUCCGUUGCUGUUCGGGAAGACUCCCAAACUUGAGCGUUUAGAGGAAGUAAAAGUCGUAACA